ACAUUUGUAACACUUUCCUUCAAAUAUUUUCUUGUUUUCAUAUUUCUUUGAGCCUCCCCCUUCACGAGUGCUUCCUUCGCCUUGAUGACCCUUUGAUUCAUCAUCAUUUUUCUUGGAUCCAUCAUUCUUUUGCUUCUUGAAAUUCCGCUUUCCUUUAUUGGCUUAGAGUGCCUCUUCUUCAUUCUUUAGUGAGACUCCUCCCAUUUGUUUAGCUAAUGCUUCUUGACCAGCUAACAAAUUCUCAAAAUCUACAAGUGAUGGCUGAUUUUGCCAUCCCUGUACUGCAGCGACAAAGCUUCUGUAUUCUGGCUUCAGACCGUGGAUGAUAAUUUAUUUUAUCCUAGUAUCAUUAAUACGAGCCUCUGGAUCCAGUUCGUAAAUAUCUCGACACAGUGACUGCACUUUGUGGAAAUAUUGUGCAAUAGUCAUAUUUUCUUAAGUCACCGACAAUAACUCGCUUUCAAGAAGUUGAAGCUUAGAGUUGUUCUUCUUUGAUAACAGCUUGGCGAACGUAUCCCAAGCUUCAUUUGGGGUCUUUGCAUCUUGGAUUUUCUCUAGCAAAUCCUUCUCAACAGUUGUUUUCAAUGCAAACAUUGCUUUCCCUGCUUUUAUUUUCCAUUUCUCAACAUGCCAUUUGCAUCCUCUGCUUCUGGUUGUGUUACUUCGAUUUUGUUGACAACCUACCAUAGGUAUUGCCCUUGCAUAUACGCCAUUAUGCAAGUUGACCAUGUGUUGUAAUUGUUGUUGUUAAGGUUAUCCAUUCCGCCGACAACAUAUAGGUCUGUCAUCGUGUCGUCGGAACACUAUCAAGGCUGGACACGAAUAAUACUUCACACGGACAAGCACCAAGCAAGCUAGGAACCUUCUAAAAAACACCGACCGAGUGAGGAACCUUCGAACAAACUCCAACAGAGUGAGGAAUACUAUGUAUUAAUAGUGUUUCGUACAGAGGUUAGUGAAUGAGUGGAAAAUUUUCCUUCUUGUGAAAGAUAAGACAAUGCUGCAAUCACGGGACAAUUCAGGAAAAAUUAUCACUCCUCCAACCAAGCUCUGAUACCCAUUGUUGAACACCAGACACCUCAGGAUCGAACACCGAAACUAGAGAAAAU
rnacentral:lncRNA from 1 species